rnacentral:sRNA from 1 species
CAAAAUGCUAACAUCAGUGGCUCCUGCUUUCAGGGUCUUGCCUGAGGUCCUGCCCUGACUUCUCUGGAUGAUGGACCAUGAUCUGGAACUGUAAAUAAAAUAAGCCCUUCCCUCCCUAAAUUACUAUGGGCCGAGAUGUUUUAUCACAGCAAUAGAAACCCUAGCAGACACACAUGGCUGGCAUUUUUACCAGGCUGGGGCUGGCCUAUUGAUCUGUUUUGUCCUUCAAGGGUUUCUGAGGAGUCACUAUGUUGUUAUCACUUGAGGGACGUAGUCUGGGUCCCACGAGGGGACUGCUCUUGUUCAAAUGCAGAAUCACAACUGUGGGCAAGUGUCCUCUUUUGCAGGUGAGGUAACCCACUCAGUGAGACUCGCUGGCUCUCAGAGGUACUUUGUCGUAAAGACAUUUGUCGCUCAAGCUAUCAUUCCUGGAAUCUAAAAGAGAACUACAAGGAAGAGAAACAUUAGAGGCAAAAAUAAAACCCAAGAGGGAAAUAGGGUGGUGAAGCCAGAGGAGUGGAAGGAAGCCAGGGGCGUGGCCACCUCCACCGUGGCGUCAUCAAGAAGUCAUUCUCUUUGGUUCCUGGCUGCCAUGAGGGUGAACACCCUUCUACUCCACACACUCGUGACACUGGGAUGCUCAAUCUUACUUCAGACCCAGGUGACCCUGGAUUGACACCUCAGAAGCAGUGAGAUAAAGAAUCCUAUGUGGGACGUCGAGUUGAAAAGAAUUAAAGGCGUACGAGAAUCACUCCAUCAUCUGAGAGCUUCCUGAGCUGUCACAGAGCUGCUUGGGGAAGAGAUCCACUCUCCCGAAAUCAUGGCUGCCAGAACUCCCCUGCACCCCUCGCCGCUAGUCAGUCUCCUGCUGACUAGGCCUGGCCUGAAACAGAGGCGAGAACAACACCUACCUGAGUUCUCCUCCUUUCUCCUGGAUGCACCAACCUAGCUGGACCAGAGAUCUCCAUGCACGGCACGGCAGCCCACCAUCCUCCUUCCUUUAUACCAUUUCUCCUGGGUGUUUGCCACAGUGACAAGACCUUUGAAUGAGACUGGAACACCAGGGCUUUUCCCACUGCUAUGAUGUGGCAUAGGGUGAGUGUCAGCGAGGUAGGAGAGACUAUUCACUGUUGCCAUCUACUUUCCAGGUACCAUUUGAGAAAUGAGUAUCAAUAUGUCAGCUGCCUUGGAGAUGCAUAGGAUGGCUGAUGGUCAGCGUUUCCCUUUACAGUUGACCUGGUCAAUGGCUGGUGAUACUUUUUUGAUAGAGACAACAAAUGCCUCCCAGACCCAGACAAUGCUGGAUACCUUCUGACACCGGAGGAAAUCCUGUUUUACAACCAGCCUGAAGCAGGGGGGUUGGGGGGUGGGGAGGUGGAAAGAAACAAGAUAUGCCUGAAGACAUGACCAGAAAAAGGGAGGGGCAGCCACCCAUUCCCACUAGGUCCCACACAAAUACCCCUACUCCAUGAAGUUGCUUGUGGAUCUUCACUGCUAAGUCUGCUGCUUUCUGAGUUAGAACUCAGAACUUUGUUUUCUUUCCAUUUUCCCUUUCUGAGCACUAACUCAACUCUUCAUCCUGUUGGCUUGCCCUGACAGGAGGCAUUCCUUUCUCAUAAGGAAGCCCACACAGCUGCUAGGAAUCUCCCGCUGCUGAACAGCCUGCGUUUGACCUUUAACUCUGAAAGCAAAACUUCUUUUCUCUUCCGGUCUCUUUCCUCCUUAAAGCUGACUGUCCUGUUGUUUUUCUCUUAACACAGCAGUAAAACUGCCCCGGAGUUUCUUGGUGGCUCCUUUCCUAAAUCCUUUAUUUUCAAGAUUAAGAACCUGUAAGAAGGACUCUGUUUUCUCAGGUGACAAGGCAGUUUGAAGGGCAACUCUUUGAUAAAAGAAAUGUGUGUGUGUGUGUGUGUGUGUGUGUGUGUGUGUGUGUGUUU